rnacentral:rRNA from 1 species
AACGAACGCUGGCGGCGUGGCUAAGACAUGCAAGUCGAACGAUACGUUGUAGCAAUAUGACGUAGAGUGGCGAACGGGUGAGUAAUGCGUGGGUAACGUGCCUCGAUCUCAGGGAUAGCGUCGGGUCCGCCGCAAGGCGGAUCCUUUGCGAAAGUGACGGUAAUACCUGAUGACGCCCGCGGAGGGCAUCCUCCGCGGAUCAAAGACGGGGACCGCAAGGCCUGUCGGAUGGGAGCGGCCCAUGUCCUAUCAGCUAGUUGGUGAGGUAACGGCUCACCAAGGCUUCGACGGGUAGCCGGACUGAGAGGUUGGCCGGCCACAUCGGGGACUGAGACACUGCCCGGACACCUAUGGGUGGCUGCAGUAACGAAUAUUCCGCAAUGGGCGCAAGCCUGACGGAGCGACGCCGCGUGAAGG